UACGGAGGGUGCAAGCGUUAUCCGGAUUCACUGGGUUUAAAGGGUGCGUAGGAGGGCAGGUAAGUCAGUGGUGAAAUCUCCAAGCUUAACUUGGAAACUGCCGUUGAUACUAUCUGUCUUGAAUACCGUGGAGGUGAGCGGAAUAUGUCAUGUAGCGGUGAAAUGCUUAGAUAUGACAUAGAACACCAAUUGCGAAGGCAGCUCGCUACACGAAUAUUGACUCUGAGGCACGAAAGCGCGGGGAUCAAACAGG
rnacentral:rRNA from 1 species